UCCUCCUCCCAUCGACUGCCACAGCACGGCCGGGCCGCCGCCGCCACGCCGCCCCCCAUCCUCCCGCCCCGCCGUGCCGCUCGCCGCCGCUCAGCUUCGCCCCGCCCUCCGCUGCCGCUCAGCUUGACGUGAAUCGCCAUUGAUAUCGAGUGAAUACGGCGGCGGCGUGCGUGAGGACAAGCUAGGGGAGUACGUGACUUAAUUUUGUCUGAUUUGUUUCUGGCUUUCUUUCCUUUUACCGUGGAGUCAAUCAAUCAAGGAUACGGCUCAAGGAAUCAAUCUCGUGUAUUUUAAUAGCCGUCAAUGCUCCUCACCUCCCAAAUCGUCGAUCCAUGGUAAAACUGAAGGCGAACUAUUCAUUUCUUCAUUCUAUCGAGACAGAGUACCCUGAUAUUCCAUCAAAGGAAAAAAAGCAUAUGUUGUUGCUGCUUAUCCUAUUCAUUCUGGUGGCCAUGUCGUGCUCUAACAGAGUUUUGUUUUUGCAGGUUCCGGCGCAGGCCCAGAACCUGACAGACUCUUUGGUUGAAGCCAAGUCUAACAUUGUCGUUAAGAUGACUGUGACCAUAUAAUGGAGGGAGCUUGUCAAAUUUCAACUAAAUAUGAAGCCUGAUAUCAAAGACUUGGAAAUGCUUCUCGAAUCUUCGUCCAGGCUGGUGGCACACUGAACAAGUUAUGCCAUUACUUUUGCAUGCAGUAAUCUUGUUCGUGCCUUUGGAAGCAACGAGAUUUGUCCAGACUGAAACAAAUGCAGCAAAGAAGAUAUUUGCUAGAGGGAAACAUGUGCACUGCAGUUCUGUUGAGCGAGAUUAAGUCGGGUGCACAUUUGUUUGGGGAAUCUUAUGGGAAGUAGCGAAACUAUGAUUUGGCCGUGGAGGCGUCACCUAACAAUUGUGCUUUACAGGAGUUGGCGAUGGAAAUAGCUGGGGUGUCAUUAUUCUUGCUUGAUCUGGGCAUAUCACUGUUGACCUGCUGGAAGAGGUGUGCUGGGAGUACAACAUACAAGCUGACGUCGGUAUCGCGACAUCAUCAGGGAGGUCGGCAAUGAGAACAUGCGAUGUUCAAAUUGACUAGGGGAUGUUCGUGGCAAUGGUGAAGAAGGGGAUUAUCAGGAAUGGAAGUCUGACCAUCAUUCUCCAUGGAGCAGACGACCUCGACUAGCCUUUGAUUGAAAUAUUCAUAUACAACACACUAUAUUUGUUCGCAUUGUGCUAUAGAUCAUAUCAAUAUUUUUAAGUCAAGUCGUGUAAAAAAAACUGAGGAUAACGAGUAUAGGAGAAGCUUUAAUAUUAGAGCAAUAGGGGAGGAGCAAAUGAUUGAAUGGGCUAUCAGCCGUAUAAAAUAAAACUGAGGGUAACGUCACCAGGUGGAAAACUAUAUUUGAUUGACAUCAUAACACUAGCAAGGUGAAUAACAAUGUAACAUUAUCUUUUCAUUAGUUGAUCCAUUCAACUUCUGGUUGAUAUGAUUGACAUGAUAUUUGGAAA